AGGGAAAAUCAGUACUGAAUGAUUUUAUUAACUUGUAAAUGGCUCCUCGUUGGGAGGAUUAAAUACAAUCUUUUUGUUAAAGCAGUCUAUGGUGGCGUGAUACGCCGCUAGCCAAUCCAUUCCUAGGAUUACAUCAAAAUCCUCCGUGUCUAACCCUAUCAGGUCUACCCUCAGUUUCCUAUCUGCUAUCUCCACGGCACAUGCCCUGUAGAUAACCUCUCCUAGCAAUGUCUCCCCCCCAGCGGUAGAUACAAGCAACAAUGAAUCAAGUCUAUCAGGUGAUACACAAAUCUUGGAAGCAAGAACAUGUGAAACAAAAGAAUGUGAUACACCAGUGUCAAACAAAACAUGAGCAAUGUGGCCAGACAUAGUAUACAUACCAUGUACCACGUCCGGGUCUGCGUCGGUAUCCUUCUGGGUAAGGUUGUAAACUCUGCCCUGGAUUGGAGGCCUUCUUUGAUUCUGGUUCCUAGGGCAUUCCCUUGCAUAGUGCUGGGCACUGCCGCAUAUGCGACAGGUGUUGCUGAGGCGGUAGC
rnacentral:lncRNA from 1 species